CUAAGUUUGAUGGCGACCGGCGCACGGGUGAGUAACACGUAUCCAACCUGCCGAUGACUCGGGGAUAGCCUUUCGAAAGAAAGAUUAAUACCCGAUGGCAUAGUUCUUCCGCAUGGUAGAACUAUUAAAGAAUUUCGGUCAUCGAUGGGGAUGCGCUCCAUUAGGUUGUUGGCGGGGUAACGGCCCACCAAGCCUUCGAUGGAUAGGGGUUCUGAGAGGAAGGUCCCCCACAUUGGAACUGAGACACGGCCCAAACUCCUACGGGAGGCAGCAUG
rnacentral:rRNA from 1 species